AAUGACAUGUGUUGGCCCCUCCUCUCCUGCUCUGUGCUGCGCUGCUGAGUUUCAAGCGCAACAACCCGGAGAGCGCAGCAGCGACUUCACCGCUGCAACUUUGAUGACAGGGUUUUUUGGAGCAGUCGAUGAGCGCGUUUGAAGUACCUUGCUGGUGAAGACAAGGGGAUCGAGUACCUGUGAUUUACACCAUCUACUCACCAAAAUGAAACUCCUGAUUUGUAUGAUAGCAGUCGCCUUGGCGGUGGGAUCUGCGCACGGAG